AUGCCUCCAGAGACCCCUGUGUCUGGGACAAGUACUUGGAGGGCAGCAGAUCCCUGUCCGGUCCCUGACAGCUGCCCAGGCUUGGUGGGGGCAGAGUGGGGGUGCCUCUCUCAGAGCAGGCCCCCAACCACACCUGCUGGACAGUGGGAGGGGAGCCACGCCAUCCACAGGGAGACAGGUCCUGCACAUGGCGCAGGGACCACCUUGCCCACAGCCCCACCCACCCCACCACUCCCCUUGUCCCACCAGGCCCUGGCCCCGCACUUCCAUCCACCAGGGACACCCUGCCCAGGUCCUUGCCCUCAGUCUCAGCCCCUCCCAUCGAUGCCCCCUGCCCAGCAGGCUGCCUCCCUCUGUCUGGCACACACCUACUGUGGGCUGCGGAACAAACCAGCAGCUGACAAGGGGUGCUAGCUGGGGGUUGGGGUUGCAGUGGGUGGAAUCGGCUCAGAGUCGCACUUGAGAAACACCGUCCUGGGACUUGGUGGUGGACACCUUGUGGGAUCGGCCAGGUCUGCAGCACUGGGUGCCCCUGCCCGGCUCGCCAUGCCUCGGUCAGCCUCGGGCCAGCCUCCAUGUCCCUGGAAGCACGAUGGGGUGUCCAGGCCCUGCCAUAGGCUGUGAUUGGCAGGGGAGGGGGUGAGCCUGGUGCUCUGCAUGGUCACGUGCCCAUGGGUGCUGAGGCUCACAACAUCAGGGACCCCUCAGCUCUAGUCUUAGGGGCAGGACAUGAGUGAACCUGCCCUCCUGGGUGCUGAGUCCACGGCAGGGCUGCGAGCCCCAGUGUGUGGACAGUGGCAGCCUGGCCAGCAGGUGGCAGCAUUCGCCAGCUCAGCGGGGCCAGGGCAGCUCAGGUACCACAUGCACACAUCACAGGUACACCUCGUCACCACGGGCUGAGAUACGCUCACAGCACACACGGGUGCACUGUUCCCAGGCUCACACAACCACAGACAGCCACACAUACAACCACACACACACACACACACACAAGCACCCACACACACACAACCAUACACAAGCACCCACACACAGCCACACACACAGCCACACACACACACACAACCACACACACAACCAGAGACAGCCACACAUACAACCACACACCCACAACCACACACAACCAUACACAAGCACCCACACACACAGCCACACACACACAACCACAGACAGCCACACACACAGCCACAUACAUACAUAUAACCACACACACCACACACACAAGCACCCACACACACAACCACACACCUGACUGAUUCUGGGCACAUCUGUGGGAACUGGCCCGAGCGAGGGAUCCAGGGUGGGCAUCCUGAAGGGCCCCGUGUGGGCUGUGAGAGCGGGCCGGACAGAGUGGGAGAGGAUUUGGUAGGCACAGACCCUGUUCAGGGGCCACGGCUCCCUGAGGACCCGAGGAGGCAGAGCCCGGCCCCCACAGGCCCACAGGCCCUUCUGCCUGGACCUCAACGGCCUGGCUCACCCCCUCUAGGAAGCCAGAGUGUCCCUCACCCUGAGACUACUGCACCCCCAGAGCUGCCAGGCAGGGGGCAAGGAGCAGGGGAGCCUGAGGGUCAGCAGCAAGGUCACGUGAAUGCUGUAUCUGACAACUGCACUCCACCAGGUCCCGAAGCCUGACCCCAGUGAUCCCUUGGCCCCACCAGUCUGGACAUGGGGCCGGAGAGAAGAUGGUGCCUGGGACCAGGUGAGGAGGGGCAGGUGGCGGGGACAGGCUGGGGAACACGCAGGAGUCUGCCUGGGCAUGGGGGAUAGGGCUGCAGGAGGGAAAGAGCUGGCGGUGGAGCAUGCAGCGGGCCCCAUCCCUGGGCCCCAUCCCCAGACCCCGUGAAGGGGGAGGCUUGCCUGGGCGGCCAGAGGGCAUAUCCACUGGGAAUGGCUGGAGAACGUCCUUAGGAUGGGCUUGCCUAGGCUUCGGGGCCACAGACGGCUCAGAGAACCCAGCCUCCCAGGGAGAGGGUGUAGAAGGCCAUGCUCAUACAGACAGAAGAAUCCGUACAUCCGGGGUCCCACAGAGAGGGCCAUCAGGGAUGGGCCGGGUCUGUGUCACCGGGAUCCCUCCAAGCACCACCAUGGGGGGACAGGACCUGGAGGCCGUGGGUCCUGUCCGUGUCACCUGAAAAUGUGCUGCGGUGGGCUCUGGUCUUGAGCCUGAGGCUGCACCCCGUGAGACCCCAUUUCUCUGCCUGUCUGGUGGGUGGCCAGCGGGUCCACUGCUGUGGCUGCAAGACCACUGCCCAGAAGCAGCCAUGCCAAGCCUUCCCUCCUGGGCCUGGGCACCCAAGGCCACAGCCCCUUCCCACAGGCCAAUGUGUGCCUCCCUGACCAGAUGGCCUGGCCUUGUGGGCUGCAGCUCAAGGCCACCGGCCUCCUCCGUGGAGCCCCUGGCCGAGAGAGGAUGCAGACAGGGCCCUCCCUAGGUUUAGCUGGGCCUGAACACACCUCGGUCUCAGCUAUGAGAGACUCAGGCACACUGCUGGGCCCAGGCAGGAGGGCAAGUGCCAGGGGUCUCACCGUCCCCUCUGAGCGCAGCGGUCACCAGAAACCCGUCCAGCCCUGACUCUCGGGCUCCCUCCGAGGGCUAAGUGCUGGGGCUUACUGGCUCUGGCCAGAGCCUCUCCCCACGCCGUCCACUUGGCUCCCUCCCUCUCCUCCUUCGGGGCUUUACUCAGAUGGCACCUCCUAUCUGCGGCCUUCCUAACCACCUGCUAAGAUGACAGCUGCACCCCAGUGCCCAGGCCCGAGGCCGCAUGUUUGCCCUGGGGUGCCCACGGCCCACUCACUGAUCCUGGCUGCUGCCCGGCCGCUGGACUCUGUGUGCUGUCCACGGUUGUACCGCCAGUGCUGGAGUGGGAGGAAGCGGGAGGGAGAAGGAAGGGGCGGACGGGGAAGUGUGAGCUUCCUGAACCCUACUCUCUUCCUUCGGAAAUGUCCAGAUAACAUUUCCUGUCUGCACAGGCUGGUAAAUAGGCCACACCUGGGCAGCUGCAUGAAGGGGUGGGUCACUAACCCCUCAGGACAGUGUCCAGGCAGAACCCAUGUGUCCCGGGACCUCAGAGGGUAUGGCUUGUUAGAGAUGCUGUUUCAGAGAGUCUCACUGAGCCCAGAGGGGACCAGCUGAGUCCCGCCCUCUGCUCCCCUCAGACAGGGAACACCUGAGCCCAUCCCCCAGGCCAGAGCCAGCCCAGCCCCCCGCAGCAGCCUGCCCCCGACACCUCAGGGUGGCAUCCAGCUGUCCCUUGCGUUGCCCGGCUCCUCCCCUGCCCGUCCUGCAGGCCGCCUCUGAUCCCUAGCUUAAUUUAUUUUGACAUCCUCGCUGCUGUGUGACCUCCUUGUGGUAUCACGUGUUGCUUAAAACUCAUUAUCCCCCCCUUGAAACAAGAAGUUAAUUAAACCCUUCACAGAGCCAGUGUUGACAAGUGUUGGCGUGGGCCCCUGGCAUGACUGCCCAGGGCUCCAGGGCCUGGGGCUGACGGGCGGUGGGGGAGCAAAUCCUGGGCCCCCUUCCCCACAGGGCAGCCACCAGGGGCCAUGCUGGAGCAGCAGCUGUGGAUCUCCAAGGGAGGCUCUGCUGCUCACCUGCUGUGUGGCAGGUGGGGUGGGGGUGACUUCACUUCUCUGAGCCUCAGUUUCCUUGUCUGGCAAAUAGGAAUUCUAAGAGUCCCUUCUUCAGACAGUGCUUGGCGCAAGGCCUGGCACUGAGGAACCCUCUGCAGCUCUCUGCCCUCACCCCACAUGUGAGGCAACAGAGUGCUGAGAACUGCAGAAAAGGCACCCUGGGCCCUGCAGGCUGGACCAGAGAGGGGCCGGAAGCAAUCAGGGCCUCCCCGAGGGAGGGAAAGUGGGUGGGCAGUGGGAGGGAAGGGUGCGUCUAGUGGCAGGAACAGCGUGUGGGGCCGCAGGACACCUGGACCUGUUCAGGGAGGUUCAGAGGAGGACUAAGAGGGGAGGGCUGAGAUUAUUGCAGUUGCUUUGGGGAGGUCCCACUGGCUUCACCCUGCAGUGGGGCAGGGGUGGCUGUGGGGCCAGCAGCAGUCAGGCUGGUGGGUGAGGGAGGCUUGGAGCUGGGUGGGGAUGAUGGCAGAGUCCCCAAGGGGCCUCUUAGGGCUAUAAGGAGGUGCGAUCAGGGACACUGGUGGGGACAGUGAGGCAGAAAGAGGACUUCCAGUGCAGCGUGGCAGGCAGAGCCCCUCACCUGGCCUGGGCUAGGGACACACUCCUCCCAGCCUGUCCAGCCCUUCUGAGCCUUUGCCCCUGCUCCUCCCUAAGCUGAGAAUGCCUUUCUCCCACCACUCUUUCCUGAGUCAUCUUCAUCCUUCAGUGUCCAGCUUAAGUUUCUAGAGCAUUCUGUGGCUCCCUUGGUCAUCACCUAACAACCAGUACAGAGCCUGCUAUGUGGGAAGUGCCACAAUCAGCCCUCUCCCCACCCACAGCCACUGCCCGCUCCCAGGCAGUCCCCCUGGGACAGGGCAGCACAGAGCAAGCCCAUCAGCAGGCCCCCAGACCGCCAGCGCACAAAGCAGAGGUGGAGCAGACGUGAGCCUGGAGCCACAGCAGCAUCGAGACUAGAGGGUCCUGCCCACCCCACUGACAGAUGAGGAAACCAAGAGCCUGACAGCUUAAGGACUUGCUCAGGGUCAUGGCCUCCUAUGUGGCAGAGCCAAGAUUUGAACUUUGUUCUCCCAGGGCCCAGCCAGGGUUAAGAACGUGAGCUCUGCCCUGCGACUGCCCGGGAUACAGGAAUCAUGACCAUUUCUGAGCUGUAGGGUCACUCUGAGCCUCAAUGUCAUUAUCACCAUGACAGCCUUGAUGCUGUAUCCUAGGCCCAGCCCUGCCACUUCCUGCCAAGGGGACCACCAGAUGGUUGCUAGGACAGGAUGCCAUGAGAGACCAUGAACCGGCCCCAAAAAGGACCAGGGAAAGGUUAGUGAUGCUGAUAAUGAUAUGGCCCUAGUGUGGGCACCCAGAGCUGUCCCCAAGAGCCUUUCCUGGGCCCAGAUACCCUUGGAACCUUCUCCAGGGCCUACAGGCUAUUAUUAGGGCUUGAAAUCCAGCAAAGCAGGAAACAGCCAGGCUGUGGUCGGGGCAGCUGAGCUCCACGCCGAGCCCUUCCCAGCUCCAGGGAAGGGUGUUGCGAACAUCCAGGUGGACCUCCACCAGUGAUGUUUGGAUGUGAAUCGUGACACUCCCAACAAGGAAUGCAGGUGGCCGGUAGGAUCCCGAGGCAGCCCCUCUCCACUCUGAUCAGGGACUCCUGCUGAACCCCACAGAGAUGACGCCUCCUCCAGUCAGCCUUCUUUGACUUCCCCAGGCAAAGGUGGUGACUUCUGCUCUGUGCUAAGCCAGGCCUUCCUUUCUUCAGCAUUCCUUGCUCCUCUUUCCUCA
rnacentral:lncRNA from 1 species